CCCGGCACAAGCGGUGGAGCAUGUGGUUUAAUUCGAUGCAACGCGAAGAACCUUACCUACUCUUGACAUCCAGAGAAUUUGCUAGAGAUAGCUUAGUGCCUUCGGGAACUCUGAGACAGGUGCUGCAUGGCUGUCGUCAGCUCGUGUUGUGAAAUGUUGGGUUAAGUCCCGCAACGAGCGCAACCCUUAUCCUUUGUUGCCAGCGAGUAAUGUCGGGAACUCAAAGGAGACUGCCGGUGAUAAACCGGAGGAAGGUGGGAUGACGUCAAGUCAUCAUGGCCCUUACGAGUAGGGCUACACACGUGCUACAAUGGCAUAUACAAAGAGAAGCGAACUCGCGAGAGCAAGCGGACCUCAUAAAGUAUGUCGUAGUCCGGAUUGGAGUCUGCAACUCGACUCCAUGAAGUCGGAAUCGCUAGUAAUCGUAGAUCAGAAUGCUACGGUGAAUACGUUCCCGGGCCUU
rnacentral:rRNA from 1 species